CCUACGGGGGGCAGCAGUGGGGAAUAUUGGGCAAUGGGCGCAAGCCUGACCCAGCAACGCCGCGUGAAGGAAGAAUGCUUUCGGGUUGUAAACUUCUUUUCUCAGGGACGAAGCAAGUGACGGUACCUGAGGAAUAAGCCACGGCUAACUACGUGCCAGCAGCCGCGGGAAUACGUAGGUGGCAAGCGUUAUCCGGAUUUACUGGGUGUAAAGGGCGUGUAGGCGGGGACGUAAGUCAGAUGUGAAAACCGCGGGCUCAACCUUUGGCCUGCAUUUGAAACUGUGUUUCUUGAGUACUGGAGAGGCAGACGGAAUUCGUAGUGUAGCGGUGAAAUGCGUAGAUAUUAGGAGGAACACCAGUGGCGAAGGCGGUAUGCUGGACAGCAACUGACGCUGAGGCGCGAAAGCGUGGGGAGCAAACAGGAUUAGAUACCCUGGUAGUC
rnacentral:rRNA from 1 species